AUGAGGCCUUCUUGUUUUAUGGUUUCCAUCAUUGCCUUAGUGUGGAUACGAGGAGUCUCUCCCAGUAAAGAAAAACAAGUGUUUCAGACUCCUCCUGCACUCCUAAUGAAAGAAAACGGUGAAGUCAACAUGAGCUGCUCACAUAAUAUCUCCACGUACGACACCAUCCUCUGGUAUCACCGCUCGGUAGGAGACACUGCCCUGACGCUGGUCGCCUACAUGAAUUAUAAAUCACCAAACGUCGAGGAACGGUUCAAGAGCCACUUUGUCGUGAGCGGAGACGGAGAGAAAGAAGUUCAUCUCCACAUCAGGGACCUGAAACCUGAACACGGUGGAGAGUAUUUGGCAGCAGCUUGGAGGCACGGUUACAGAAACAGUGACUCCCUCAUACAAAAACUCUGA